rnacentral:rRNA from 1 species
AUUGAACGCUGGCGGCAGGCCUAACACAUGCAAGUCGAACGGUAACAGGAAGAAGCUUGCUUCUUUGCUGACGAGUGGCGGACGGGUGAGUAAUGUCUGGGAAACUGCCUGAUGGAGGGGGAUAACUACUGGAAACGGUAGCUAAUACCGCAUAACGUCUCAAGCCCAAAGAGGGGGACCUUCGGUCCGCUUGCCAUCGGAUGUGCCCAGAUGGGAUUAGCUAGUAGGUGGGGUAACGGCUCACCUAGGCGACGAUCCCUAGCUGGUCUGAGAGGAUGACCAGCCACACUGGAACUGAGACACGGUCCAGGCUCCUACGGGAGGCAGCAGUGGGGAAUAUUGCACAAUGGGCGCAAGCCUGAUGCAGCCAUGCCGAGUGUAUGAAGAAGGCCUUCGGGUUGUAAAGUACUUUCAGCGGGGAGGAAGGGAGUAAAGUUAAUACCUUUACUCAUUGACGUUACCCGCAGAAGAAGCACCGGCUAACUACGUG